GACGAACGCUGGCGGCGUGCCUAAUACAUGCAAGUCGAGCGAGCGAAACUAACAGAUUUACUUCGGUAAUGACGUUAGGAAAGCGAGCGGCGGAUGGGUGAGUCACACGUGGGGAACCUGCCCCAUAGUCUGGGAUACCACUUGGAAACAGGUGCUAAUACCGGAUAAGAAAGCAGAUCGCAUGAUCAGCUUUUAAAAGGCGGCGUAAGCUGUCGCUAUGGGAUGGCCCCGCGGUGCAUUAGCUAGUUGGUAAGGUAAAGGCUUACCAAGGCGAUGAUGCAUAGCCGAGUUGAGAGACUGAUCGGCCACAUUGGGACUGAGACACGGCCCAAACUCCUACGGGAGGCAGCAGUAGGGAAUCUUCCACAAUGGACGCAAGUCUGAUGGAGCAACGCCGCGUGAGUGAAGAAGGUUUUCGGAUCGUAAAGCUCUGUUGUUGGUGAAGAAGGAUAGAGGUAGUAACUGGCCUUUAUUUGACGGUAAUCAACCAGAAAGUCACGGCUAACUACGUG
rnacentral:rRNA from 1 species